rnacentral:rRNA from 1 species
UGGUUUGAUUAUGGCUCAGGAUGAACGCUGGCGGCAUGCCUAAUACAUGCAAGUCGAACGGAGUGAAGCCUUCGGGUUUCAUUCAGUGGCGAACGGGUGAGUAAUACGCAGGGAACCUGGCCAUGGCAGGGGGAUACACUCUGGAAACGGAGCAUAAGACCCCAUAGGCAGUAAGGCGGCAUCGCCUUACUGUUAAAGAAAGCUGAAAGGCUUUGGCGAUGGAUGGACCUGCGGUGCAUUAGCUUGUUGGCGAGGCAACGGCUUACCAAGGCGAUGAUGCAUAGCCGGCCUGAGAGGGCGGACGGCCACACUGGGACUGAGACACGGCCCAGACUCCUGCGGGAGGCAGCAGUAGGGAAUUUUCGUCAAUGGGCGCAAGCCUGAACGAGCAAUGCCGCGUGAGUGAGGAAGGUCUUCGGACUGUAAAGCUCUGUUGCCGGGGAAAAAGGGGAAAUGCAGGAAAUGGCAUUUCAUGGAUGGUACCCGGCCAGAAAGCCACGGCUAACUACGUGCCAGCAGCCGCGGUAAUACGUAGGUGGCGAGCGUUAUCCGGAAUGAUUGGGCGUAAAGGGUGCGCAGGCGGUCUGUUAAGUCUGAAGGCAAAGGGAUGAGCUCAACUCAUUUAUGAUUCAGAAACUGGCAGACUUGAGGACAGGAGAGGGCGGUGGAACUCCAUGUGUAGCGGUAAAAUGCGCAGAGAUAUGGAAGAACACCAGUGGCGAAGGCGGCCGCCUGGCCUGUGACUGACGCUGAGGCACGAAAGCGUGGGGAGCAAAUAGGAUUAGAUACCCUAGUAGUCCACGCCGUAAACGAUGAGGAGCAGGUGUUGGGAGUGAAAUCUCAGUGCCGAAGCCAACGCAGUGACUCCUCCGCCUGGGGAGUAUGCACGCAAGUGUGAAACUCAAAGGAAUUGACGGGGGCCCGCACAAGCGGUGGAGUAUGUGGUUUAAUUCGAAGCAACGCGAAGAACCUUACCAGGUUUUGACAUCGGAUGCGAAGGCGCAGAGAUGCGCUGGAGGCUAUCAUCCAGACAGGUGGUGCAUGGUUGUCGUCAGCUCGUGUCGUGAGAUGUUCAGUUAAGUCUGGCAACGAGCGCAACCCCCGUGGUAUGUUACUAACGCAUUUGGGCGAGGACUCAUAUCAGACUGCCGGUGACAAACCGGAGGAAGGCGGGGAUGACGUCAAAUCAUCAUGCCCCUUAUGACCUGGGCUACACACGUACUACAAUGGCGUCUACAGAGGGAAGCGACCCUGAGAAGGGAAGCGAAACCGGAAAAGGGCGUCCCAGUUCGGAUUGAAGUCUGCAACCCGACUUCAUGAAGAUGGAAUCGCUAGUAAUCGCGGAUCAGCAUGCCGCGGUGAAUACGUUCCCGGGCCUUGUACACACCGCCCGUCAAACCAUGGAAGCCGGCAACGCCCGAAGCCGGUGGCAUAACCUUUUAGGAGUGAGCCGUCGAAGGCGGGGCCGAUGACUGGGGUUAAGUCGUAACAAGGUACCC